UACGGAGGGUGCAAGCGUUGUUCGGAAUCACUGGGCGUAAAGGGCGCGUAGGCGGUUUGAUAAGUUAGAGGUGAAAGCCCACGGCUUAACCGUGGAAGUGCAUUUGAAACUGUCAGACUUGAGUAUCAGAGAGGAAAGUGGAAUUCCCGGUGUAGAGGUGAAAUUCGUAGAUAUCGGGAGGAAUACCGGUGGCGAAGGCGGCUUUCUGGCUGAAUACUGACGCUGAGGCGAGAAAGCGUGGGGAGCAAACAGG
rnacentral:rRNA from 1 species